AGUGUAGAUUGUUGCCAGCACAGAGGCCAA
rnacentral:piRNA from 1 species